ncrna:Ornithorhynchus anatinus (platypus) microRNA oan-mir-449a precursor
UGUGUGCGAUAGUUUGGCAGUGUUUGUUAGCUGGUUGAAUAUUUAAAUGGCACCAGCUGACAGACAGCUGCUUUCCUAUUGCAUGUA